rnacentral:rRNA from 1 species
GACGGGUGAGUAAUGUCUGGGAAACUGCCUGAUGGAGGGGGAUAACUACUGGAAACGGUGGCUAAUACCGCAUAACGUCGCAAGACCAAAGAGGGGGACCUUCGGGCCUCUUGCCAUCAGAUGUGCCCAGAUGGGAUUAGCUUGUUGGUGAGGUAACGGCUCACCAAGGCGACGAUCCCUAGCUGGUCUGAGAGGAUGACCAGCCACACUGGAACUGAGACACGGUCCAGACUCCUACGGGAGGCAGCAGUGGGGAAUAUUGCACAAUGGGCGCAAGCCUGAUGCAGCCAUGCCGCGUGUAUGAAGAAGGCCUUCGGGUUGUAAAGUACUUUCAGCGGGGAGG